UGCGAGUCAUUGUAGCAAUACAAGGCAGACGGCUCAGUAACGCGUAGUCAAUCUACCCUAUGGACGGGAAUAACCUCGGGAAACUGAGAAUAAUGCCCGACAGAACAUUAUACCUGGAACGGUUUAUGUUUCAAAUGAUUUAUCGCCGUAGGAUGGGACUGCGGCCUAUCAGUUUGUUGGUGAGGUAAUGGCCCACCAAGACUAUUACAGGUACGGGCUCUGAGAGGAGUAGCCCGGAGAUGGGUACUGAGACACGGACCCAGGCCCUAUGGGGCGCAGCAGGCGAGAAAACUUUGCAAUGUGCGAAAGCACGACAAGGUUAAUCCGAGUGGUUUCUGCUAAAGAAACCUUUUGCUAGUCCUAGAAACACUAGUGAAUAAGGGGUGGGCAAGUUCUGGUGUCAGCCGCCGCGGUAAAACCAGCACCUCAAGUGGUCAGGAUGAUUAUUGGGCCUAAAGCAUCCGUAGCUCGUUUUGUAAGUUUUCGGUUAAAUCCAUACGCUUAACGUAUGGGCUGCCGGGAAUACUGCAUAACUAGGAAGUGGGAGAGGUAGACGGUACUCGGUAGGAAGGGGUAAAAUCCUUUGAUCUAUUGAUGACCACCUGUGGCGAAGGCGGUCUACCAGAACACGUUCGACGGUGAGGGAUGAAAGCUGGGGGAGCAAACCGGAUUAGAUACCCGGGUAGUCCCAGCUGUAAACUAUGCAAACUCAGUGAUGCAUUGGCUUGUGGCCAAUGCAGUGCUGCAGGGAAGCCGUUAAGUUUGCCGCCUGGGAAGUACGUACGCAAGUAUGAAACUUAAAGGAAUUGGCGGGGGAGCACCACGAGGGGUGAAGCCUGCGGU
rnacentral:rRNA from 1 species